CAAAACGAGUUGGGCUUCGAGAAGCUUGUUUUGUGGUGUUAACAGUUUCUUCAAAAACAACGUAGAAAUGCCUGAAUAUUGCAUCAAUUGUCAUCGAAUAAACAUAAAAAAGAGGCAGGUUUUCAAUUCUGCAUUCGAAAAUGAUUAAAAAAAAGAUGUCGGCAAGGAUGAGCGGCAGUGAUUUCUCCGACAAGAUGGCGUGCCACCACACUAUGCCGUUCCUGUUCGAGCUUAUUUCAAUCAAUUAUUUCUCAAUAAUCAAGAUUUGACUCCGCCAGACUUCUUCCUUUAGGGAUAUCUGAAGAGUAAACUUUACACCAUUGGACCAAAAAAUACUUUGGAUGAACAAAAAAUCAGAAUAUGAGAAGUUUAGCGAAUAAUUUUUGAUAUCUUCAUCAAUCGUUUAGGAUUUGCCCAAGGUGAUGCCAACCCUCUAAAAGUACAGAUAGUACCGAUUUUUUCUCAGUUGUGCAUCAGUUAACUGUGCACUGAAACAACAAACCACCUUCAAGAAAGUUAUUUUGAUUAACAAUAUAAUGACACCAACUAUGGUUUUGCUGUAGUCUAACUUUUGAAGACAAUUCUUCAGUUUAACAGGUAAUAGAUUAAUUUUAACAAGAUAAAGUAAUAAUCUUUUAUGAGCUAAUGUUAGUGAGCCAACUUUUGGUAUCAAGUCGACACGAGUCUGAUUUGAAUAGUAUCAAGUAAAUUUAAAAAUUAAACUUAAGUCUAAAAAUUGAUACGUUUUGAAUUCGAGCCGGUAUCGAUAUUAAAUAUGAAUCGCGAUCACAAUUGAGUCGAAAUUGUGCGAGUUUUCACUCUUAGAGAAAUGUUAUUUCCAAGUACAUUGUUGUUUAUAACUAUAAAACUUUAAACUAGAAAGUGUUCAGACAAUUUUGUCAAGUUUUAUAAUAUUUCAAUAAUGUUAUUCCGGUUUUGAAGACAGGUGUUAUAUUAAACUUCUUCAAGUUCCUCCCCAAGUCGAACUGAAAGGAAGGGUGAAAGGUUGCGACGAUGUGGAUUUUUGGUAUGCUGGAGUUGGGCAAAGAAUAAUUUAUUUAUGUAGUUAUCAUAUAUUCUGCAUGUCUUUUAGGAUGUAACCAUAAUUAAAUCCCGUUUUUAGUCUUUAGCAUAAGGUAUUUAAGGCAAUGUGUACCAUUUAAGCCAAAAACAAAAUUAUGAAAUACAACAUUAUGAUGAAAUAUAAAAAUUAAAA